rnacentral:rRNA from 1 species
GCAAGUCGAGGGGUAACAUGGAAGCUUGCUUCCGAUGACGACCGGCGAACGGGUGAGUAACGCGUACACGACCUACCUUUAAGUGGGAUAGCCUUGGGAAACUAAGAUUAAUACCCCAUAGUAUUACUGUUUUAAAUUUCGGUAAUUAAAGUUCCGACGCUUAAAGAUGGGUGUGCGUAUGAUUAGAUAGUUGGUGAGGUAACGGCUCACCAAGUCUACGAUCAUUAGGGGGCGUGAGAGCGUGGCC